rnacentral:rRNA from 1 species
AUUGAACGCUAGCGGCAUGCUUUACACAUGCAAGUCGAACGAGUGGCGGACGGGUGAGUAAUACUUGGGAAUGUGGCUUGUAGCGGGGGAUAACUACUCGAAAGUGGGCUAAUACCGCAUACUCUAGGAUGGGCCGAAGUGGGAUUAGCUAGUUGGUGAGGUAAAGGCUCACCAAGCCGACUAUCCCUAGCUGGUCUGAGAGGAGGACCAGCCACACUGGGACUGAGACACGGCCCAGACUCCUACGGGAGGCAGCAGUGGGGAAUAUUGCGCAAUGGGGGAAACCCUGACGCAGCCAUGCCGCGGGAAUGAAGAAGGCCUUCGGGUUGUAAAGUACUUUUGGUAGAGAAGCGGUAACUGCAGAAUAAGCACCGGCUAACUACGUGCCAGCAGCCGCGGUAAUUC